rnacentral:rRNA from 1 species
ACGAACGCUGGCGGCGUGCUUAACACAUGCCAGUCGAACGGUAAGGCCCUUCGGGGUCCACGAGUGGCGAACGGGUGAGUAACACGUGGGUAAUCUGCCCUGCACAUCGGGAUAAGCCUGGGAAACUGGGUCUAAUACCGAAUAGGACCACAGGACACAUGUCCUGUGGUGGAAAGCUUUUGCGGUGUGGGAUGGGCCCGCGGCCUAUCAGCUUGUUGGUGGGGUGAUGGCCUACCAAGGCGACGACGGGUAGCCGGCCUGAGAGGGUGUCCGGCCACACUGGGACUGAGAUACGGCCCAGACUCCGACGGGAGGCAGCAGUGGGGAAUAUUGCACAAUGGGCGAAAGCCUGAUGCAGCGACGCCGCGUGGGGGAUGACGGCCUUCGGGUUGUAAACCUCUUUCACCAUCGACGAAGGUCCGGGUGUUCUCGGGCUGACGGUAGGUGGAGAAGAAGCACCGGCCAACUACGUG